CACUUUAUUUUACAGGCAUUACACAGUUCUGAUACCUGGUGGCCGGGCAUGUGUGGUACGGCAGGCCGAGUGUGACAGUGAGAAGUGGUGCUACCCUGCUCCAGCUGGAUGGGGCCAGAUCUUCCUGUAACUCAAGAGAUGCUGAAAAUCAAGGAAAGCCUGUCCAGAUCCAAGGGGUAGCAUUUGAGAUCUCCUGUUCAGACCCAUUCCUGAGGAUGAGAGGUGGAGAGGGGAGAGCGCAGAGACCAGAGUCGACCUGCAGGGACUACUGGGAAGAGGACCCACAUCUGUGAUCUGAUCACUAGAAGGCGGCUUUGCACCUACCCAGGUACCCCUACCCUCUCAACACCCCUCACCCCCGCCGGUUCAGUGACUUUGCAUUUGGCCACUGAUCAGGUAUCCCUGA
rnacentral:lncRNA from 1 species